AAGGAAUCCGUUCAGAGGGAUUUUACUUCCUGGACUUUGAGACAAAAACUGAUAUUUGCAUUGAUAAGCAUUCGGGUUGCAAAGAUGAAGAACAAAAGAAUCAGCUACAUAUUCAGCUCAACAGGAGACACCUGAAGUUGCCAGCUGGCCUGCCAGUGAGUGGAUCAGCCAGCAGCAGAUGAUUGUUCAGCUGAGGCACAAGUAAUCCAAGAGAUACAAAGGAAUCCGUUCAGAGGGAUUUUACUUCCUGGACUUUGAGACCAAAAACUGAUAUUUGCAUUGAUAAGCAUUCGGGUUGCAAAGAUGAAGAACAAAAGAAUCAACUACAUAUUCAGCUCAACAGGAGACACCUGAAGUUGCCAGCUGGCCUGCCAGUGAGUGGAUCAGCCAGCAGCAGAUGAUUGUUCAGCUGAGGCACAAGUAAUCCAAGAGAUACAAGGGAAUCCAGUCAGAGGGAUUUUACUUCCUGGACUUUGAGACCAAAAACUGAUAUUUGCUUUGAUAAGCAUUCGGGUUGCAAAGAUGAAGAACAAAAGAAUCAGCUACAUAUUCAGCUCAACAGGAGACACCUGAAGUUGCCAGCUGGCCUGCCAGUGAGUGGAUCAGCCAGCAGCAGAUGAUUGUUCAGCUGAGGCACAAGUAAUCCAAGGUGAGUUGCAGUCCCAGUACUACCCUCAAACACCAUACACAGUGCAAUGAAAAAUAUGAUAGUGUUGCAG